GUUCUUCAUGAAUGUGUUUUUUCACACAAAUAUUUUAUACCUGACAGGAUCGAGGACAUGUGUUUCCCGCUGACCAAAAUACUCACUGUGCCCUUCCUCAAGGCCCUAGAUCUGUAUCUCUCCCAGUUUUCCAUCUCAUGCAAGUUUCCCAUAAUUAAAAUAUCCACUGUGAAUCCUACCCUUCUGGCGUUUACCAAGAAGAAAUAUCUGGCUAGUGUUGUGUCUGAUCAACCCAUCGAGGUCCCUGCUCCAUCUGCCCGGCCUGAUCCUGUGAGGUUUACUGCUGCGGUGCCCUUAGCUUCUGAUGAGCAGUCUCUGGUGAAAGCUUUACAUUCCAGUACCGGGACAGUCCAGUGUGGAAAUCCAUUUUAUUAUAUGAUGACCAGACUUUGCUUGUAUGGACUAAUGCAUGGUAGGGGGGGAAUUGUGCCAGUUUCCAGCUCUAGUAAGCAGAGUGUAUAUGAUGUGGCUAUAAGAUUUAUAGGUUCUAGGAUAUUGAGCCCGAUAGUGAGGCUGCCAAUUUUAUCCAGGGCUUUGGCAGACCUGGCGCUGACGGGGCACGGUCAUCAGAUAACAGUGUGUAAUGAAUGUGGCCACUGUUUAAAUUUGGGCAGGGAUAAAUUUCUUGCAGUAAAUUUUUCCCCCACAAGUAUGUUUUAUUGCAGAGAUCAAAAGGAGAAACAGUUUAACAUAUGUGCUACAACUGGGAGGAUCUAUUGUUCAUAUUGUGGGGCGACAGAGUUUACAGUGUAUGACAUGGUGGGAAGGUAUGCUACGGGGGAGCCUUUUAUUAGGGCGGUUUCCUCAGCUAACUCCCUUAGUAUUUUAGAUAAUAGCGAACAGGAGUGUGAUAUACUGAUCCCUUGUUUUGGUAAAUCUAGGUCUUGCAGUAUUAAGCUGAGGGCGACAUUUAGGGAGCUACUUUAUUUGACAGCGUCUGUUGAUAAUUUUAUUUGUCAAAAGUGUUCCAAUAAGGGUGAUGAAUAAAGACAGGGUCAAAGCUCCAGCUUUCCACCCAGAGCUCCAUAACAAGCUUUUGGAAAGGCUUAAGGCUGCCUAUGGAAAGGACAGUAUUGGCAAAGACCCAGAAGAAGCCCCAGUUCCCCUGUUGUUGCAUACCUGUGCAGUUAGAUUCUAUGAAGAGUACAAAGAAUUGACACGUGAUAACACAUUGCCUACAUUGGUAAACAAGAAAGGAUUCCCGGGGGAUGCCAAAAUGAUGGACCCUGUCUUGGGUAUCUAUCACUCUGGAAAAAAACAGGGAGCAUCAAGUGUCCCUUCCUCUUCUGGAGCAUUUGACGGAGGGAGCCACGGUGGCCCUCUACCUUCUGUUGAUCUUCCUCAAAGGGAGGGAGGCCUGUGGUACGGACUGGGCCCUGACAAGUCUGGACUGGGUUUUGUGCUCCCCUCUGAUCCAGGGUCUAUGUCUGACGGGAACAGCUUUAGGGUUAUUCCAGACCCCUCAUCUCUAACAGACAAGGAUGACCAGAACUUGGGGGAAUCGACCAAAACAAGGAGUGGAAAUGGAAAGAAAAAGUAGACCCUUGACCAAAGACUGUUAAAUGUAAAGCUGUUUUAUUCUUUUUAGAGUAGACAGCAUAUAUGAUGAAUGGUCGUGUACACUUUUGAUUAUCUUCUCAAUAAAUAAUAAUACAUUA
rnacentral:tmRNA from 1 species